GACGAACGCUGGCGGCGUGCCUAAUACAUGCAAGUCGAGCGAAGUUUUUCUGUUGCUUGCACUAGAAAAACUUAGCGGCGAACGGGUGAGUAACACGUAAAGAACCUGCCUCAUAGACUGGGACAACUAUUGGAAACGAUAGCUAAUACCGGAUAACAGUAUUUCUCGCAUGAGAGAUAUUUAAAAGUUGGUUAUGCUAACACUAUGAGAUGGCUUUGCGGUGCAUUAGCUAGUUGGUGGGGUAAAGGCCCACCAAGGCGACGAUGCAUAGCCGACCUGAGAGGGUGAUCGGCCACACUGGGACUGAGACACGGCCCAGACUCCUACGGGAGGCAGCAGUAGGGAAUCUUCCGCAAUGGGCGAAAGCCUGACGGAGCAACGCCGCGUGAGUGAAGAAGGAUUUCGGUUCGUAAAGCUCUGUUGUUAGGGAAGAAUGGAUAUGUAGUAACUAUACAUGUAAGAGACGGUACCUAACCAGAAAGCCACGGCUAACUACGUG
rnacentral:rRNA from 1 species